rnacentral:rRNA from 1 species
GACGAACGCUGGCGGCGUGCUUAACACAUGCAAGUCGAACGGACAGGCCCUGCUUUUGUGGGUUGCUUGAGUGGCGAACGGGUGUGUAACACGUGAGUAACCUGCCCUUGACUUUGUGAUAACUUCAGGAAACUGGGGCUAAUACCGGAUAGGAGCUCUUGAUGCGUGGUGGGGGUAGGAAAGUUUCGGCGGUUGGGGCUGGAUUCGCGGCUUAUCAGCUUGUUGGUCGGGUAGUGGCUUACCAAGGCUUUGACGGGUAGCCUGCCUGAGAGGGUGACCGGCCACAUUGGGACUGCGGGACGGACCAGAAUGCUACGGGCGGCAGAAGUGGGGAGUAUUGCAGAAUGGGCGGAAGCCUGAUGCAGCGGCGCCGCGUGCGGGAUGACGGCCUUCGGGUGGAAAACCGCUUUCGCCUGUGAUGAAGCGUGCUUGACGGUAAUGGGUAAAGAAGCAACGGCUAACUACGUG